CGUGUGGUUCUAUUUUGUUGGUUAUGGGACCGCCGUAAUGAUUAAUAGGGACAGUCGGGGGCAUCAGUAUUCAAUUGUCAGAGGUGAAAUUCUUGGAUUUAUUGAAGACUAACUACUGCGAAAGCAUUUGCCAAGGAUGUUUUCAUUAAUCAGGAACGAAAGUUAGGGGAUCGAAGACGAUCAGAUACCGUCGUAGUCUUAACCAUAAACUAUGCCGACUAGGGAUCGGACGAUGUUACUUUUUGACUCGUUCGGCACCUUACGAGAAAUCAAAGUCUGUGGGUUCCUGGGGAAGUAUGGUGGCAACGCUGAAACUUAAAGAAAUUGACGGAAGGGCACCACCAGGGGUGGAGCCUGCGGCUUAAUUUGACUCAACACGGGGAAACUCAC
rnacentral:rRNA from 1 species